rnacentral:tRNA from 2 species
GCGGGUGUGGCGGAAUCGGUAGACGCGCCAGACUCAAAAUCUGGUGGCCGCAAGGCCGUGCCGGUUCGAGCCCGGCCACCCGUACCA